ACAUAUGAGAUUCAUCAUGCUUCAUGAUGUACGACAAGAAGAUGGAAUCAAAAACUUCUUCAAUGACGUGUAUGAUUUAUACAUUAAGUUUGCAAUGAAUCCUUUCUAUGAAACCAAUGCUCCAAUCCGGUCGACGGCAUUUGACAGGAAAGUACAGUUCCUUGGAAAGAAGCACCUCUUGAGCUGAUGAACUAACCUGGACAACAUGGUUGUGUAGCUUUUUUAAUGUCUUCAUUGUGUGCAGUUUCCAGUUGAAAUAUGUUUUAAGACAUAUACAUAAUAUACACAUAAUUUGUCUAUGAUCACCUGUUGUAUGUCUUAUAAUUUCCGUAUGUAUUACUGAAACUUCCCAACCACUGUAUAAAAGCUAUUGUAAGCAUGGAA